GACGAACGCUGGCGGCAUGCCUAAUACAUGCAAGUCGAGCGAACAGAUGAAGUGCUUGCACUUCUGACGUUAGCGGCGAACGGGUGAGUAACACGUAAGGAAUCUACCUAUAAGCGGGGGAUAACAUUCGGAAACGGGUGCUAAUACCACAUAAUAUCUUCUUCCGUAUGGAAGAAGAUUGAAAGACGGCUCUGCUGUCACUUAUAGAUGACCUUGCGGUGCAUUAGUUAGUUGGUGGGGUAAUGGCCUACCAAGACGAUGAUGCAUAGCCGCGCUGAGAGGGUGAUCGGACACAUUGGGACUGAGACACGGCCCAAACUCCUACGGGAGGCAUGAGUAGGGAGUCUUCCGCAGAGGGCGAAAGCCUGCCGGAGCAAUGCGGCGUGAGGGAAGAAGGCCUUCGGGUCGGAAAACUCUGUUAUAAGAGAAGAACAAAUUGUAGAGUAACUGCUACAGUCUUGACGGUAUCUUAUCAGAAAGCCACGGCUAACUACGUGCCAGCCGCCGCCGUAA
rnacentral:rRNA from 1 species